GAUCCUGGCUCAGGAUGAACGCUAGCUACAGGCUUAACACAUGCAAGUCGAGGGGCAGCAUGAACUUAGCUUGCUAAGUUUGAUGGCGACCGGCGCACGGGUGAGUGACACGUAUCCAACCUGCCGAUGACUCGGGGAUAGCCUUUCGAAAGAAAGAUUAAUACCCGAUGGCAUAGUUCUUCCGCAUGGUAGAACUAUUAAAGAACUUCGGUCAUCGAUGGGGAGUGCGUUCC
rnacentral:rRNA from 1 species